AAGUCGUAACAAGGUAACCGUAGGUGAACCUGCGGUUGGAUCAUUAUUGAUUUUGUUAAAUAAUAACCAAAAGUUUAACAGUGUUUGGUGUAAAAACCAUUCGCAUACACCUGUGAACUGUGACUGUUUCUGGGUCCUAAUGCUCUCGAGCGACAGGGCCCGACAUAUUAACUAUAUACUAAUGUCUGAAUAAAUUUAAAUAAAAACAACUUUUGACAACGGAUCUCUUGGCUCUC
rnacentral:misc_RNA from 1 species